CCUGCGGUCCGCGGCCCGGGGAAUCUGAAGCGUGGCUCGGGAGCCCCGGGGGACAUGGCCUCCUUCUUGGCUGUCGUCGGGGCGCCCGGGGGAGUCAACUCCUGUGUCUUUGACCGUUUCCAUUACAGUGUCAAGAUGGGAGAUCGGAGUGUCUAUAAUGAAAACACAAGUGUGGUGGUCUCAGUCCAAAGAGCUUUUGUCCACCCUAAGUUCUCAACAGUUACAACCAUUCGAAAUGACCUUGCCCUUCUCCAGCUCCAACAUCCUGUGAAUUUUACCUCAAACAUCCAGCCUAUCUGCAUCCCUCAGGAGAAUUUCCAGGUGGAAGGGAGAUUCUGGGGGCCGCUUGGCCUGUGAAUAUAAUGACACAUGGGUCCAGGUAGGGAUUGUGAGCUGGGGCAUCGGCUGUGGUCGCUGAGGGUUGCCUGGAGUUUAUACAGAAAUUGGUGUCUACAGUAAGUGGCUGAUUGCAGUGGUGGAUCAGGCUACCUGUUUGUAUCCAGCAGUGUUCCUCAUCUUAGUCCUGCAUUUGGUGCUGCCCCUGGGCAUCCUGGUGGCCCAGUGAUCACCCCAGCCCACUCCCCUUUUGUUUCUGAGUCUCAUACUAGGCCUCUCCUCCAACCUCCCACUCCUUCUCAAUGCCGUUUCUGAAAAUCCCAGUUGGAAUCCACGGGCCCUCUGGAGAUCCAUACAAUAGAGCACAGCAGGGAGACUGGGGCCUGGAAAGUGCCCCUGCCUGGUGCUCUGGUCACCUGCCUCAGCCAUGCCUGCACCAGGGCUGUGCUCUGGCUAGUGGGAAGGAGGGGGUGAACUAAUUCCAGCUAGAGGACCAGCCUCCCUGCCAGGUGGGCCACAGUGACUCAUCAGUAUCUGGGGGAACAUCUAUCAAAGAAGAGACAUCAUCAACAGUGAAGCAAGUGUUAGAUGUGGUUCUGGUUUCAGGGCUCCCACCUAAGACUUUGUGAAACCAGCCAGCUGGGUGAUUGCUCAGCGUGAAGGAGGCGUUACCAGGUCCCUGCAGAGGUGUGAGGCCUGGGACUUCCACUCUAGGCUCAGUUGUCUGGGGCUGGGAGAAGUUCCCCUGCAGCCCAGUGUGGAUCCAUCUGUGAGUGGACAGCCUCUGCCACACUAACUCUCUUGGGGCUACCCAUUCUUGGCACCCCCUUCCUCAGUGCCCUAGUGGCCACUUUCAGAGACACUACAAGUUGUAUUGAGGCAGUUAUGGAGUGCAGAGUUUUCAGAAAUCAACUAAAUAAAUGUUUGGAGAGUCUCCUAUGUUC
ensembl:lncRNA PRSS42P serine protease 42, pseudogene